GACGAACGCUGGCGGCGCGCCUAACACAUGCAAGUCGAACGGGGUGCGUUCGAAUGAAGUUUUCGGAUGGAAUUUGGAUGUACCUAGUGGCGAACGGGUGAGUAACACGUGAAUAACCUGCCCUGGAGUGGGGGACAACAGUUGGAAACGACUGCUAAUACCGCAUAAGCCCACAGAGCCGCAUGGCUCAGGGGGAAAAGAGCAAUUCGCUUCAGGAUGGAUUCGCGUCCAAUUAGCUGGAUGGUGAGGUAACGGCCCACCAUGGCAACGAUUGGUAGCCGGACUGAGAGGUUGAUCGGCCACAUUGGGACUGAGACACGGGCCCAGACUCCUACGGGAGGCAGCAGUGGGGAAUAUUGCACAAUGGGGGAAACCCUGAUGCAGCGACGCCGC
rnacentral:rRNA from 1 species